rnacentral:rRNA from 1 species
UGGGGAAUCUUGGACAAUGGGCGCAAGCCUGAUCCAGCCAUGCCGCGUGGAUGAUGAAGGCCUUAGGGUUGUAAAAUCCUUUCGUGGGGGACGAUAAUGACGGUACCCCAAGAAGAAGCUCCGGCUAACUUCGUGCCAGCAGCCGCGGUAAUACGAAGGGGGCUAGCGUUGUUCGGAUUUACUGGGCGUAAAGCGCGUGUAGGCGGGUCGUUAAGUUGGGGGUGAAAUCCCGAGGCUCAACCUCGGAACUGCCUUCAAAACUGGCGACCUGGACUCAAGCAGAGGCAAGUGGAAUUGCGAGUGUAGAGGUGAAAUUCGUAGAUAUUCGCAGGAACACCAGUGGCGAAGGCGACUUGCUGGGCUUGUAGUGACGCUGAGACGCGAAAGCGUGGGGAGCAAACAGGAUUAGAUACCCCCGUAAUCCCUGAGCGGGCUGGCAAGGCGCAU